rnacentral:rRNA from 1 species
UACGUAGGUGGCGAGCGUUGUCCGGAAUUACUGGGUGUAAAGGGUGCGUAGGCGGGCAGGCAAGUUGGAUAUGAAAUACCGGGGCUUAACUCCGGGGCUGCAUCCAAAACUGCAUGUCUUGAGUGAAGUAGAGGCAAGCGGAAUUCCCAGUGUAGCGGUGAAAUGCGUAGAGAUUGGGAGGAACACCAGUGGCGAAGGCGGCUUGCUAGGCUUUAACUGACGCUGAUGCACGAAAGCAUGGGGAGCAAACAGGAUUAGAUA